CCUACGGUAGGCAGCAGUAAGGGAUAUUGCACAAUGGGGGAAACCCUGAACCAGCAACGCCGCGUGAGGGAAGACGGUUUUCGGAUUGUAAACCUCUGUCCUCUGUGAAGAUGAUGACGGUAGCUGAGGAGGAAGCCCCGGCUAACUACGUGCCAGCAGCCGCGGUAAUACGUAGGGAGCGAGCGUUGUCCGGAUUUACUGGGUGUAAAGGGUGCGUAGGCGGCUGGGCAAGUCAGGAGUGAAAUGCAUGGGCUUAACCCACGGACUGCUAUUGAAACUGUCGGGCUGGAGUGAAGGAGAGGUAGGUGGAAGUCCCGGUGUAGCGGUGAAAUGCGUAGAGAUCGGGAGGAACACCAGUGGCGAAGGCGGCUUACUGGGCUGUAACUGACGCUGAGGCACGAAAGCGUGGGGAGCAAACAGGAUUAGAUACCCGUGUAGUC
rnacentral:rRNA from 1 species